UACGUGGGGGGCAAGCGUUGUUCGGAAUUACUGGGCGUAAAGGGCUCGUAGGCGGCCAACUAAGUCGGAUGUGAAAUCCCCAGGCUCAACCCGGGAACUGCGUCCGAUACUGGAAGGCUUGAAUUCGGGAGAGGGAUGCGGAAUUCCAGGUGUAGCGGUGAAAUGCGUAGAUAUCUGGAGGAAUACCUAUGGCGAAAGCAGGCUACUGGACCGUCACUGACUCUGAUCUGCGAAAGCUAGGGGAGCAAACAGG
rnacentral:rRNA from 1 species